rnacentral:rRNA from 1 species
UACAGAGGUCUCAAGCGUUGUUCGGAUUCAUUGGGCGUAAAGGGUGCGUAGGUGGCGGGGUAAGUCUGGUGUGAAAUCUCGGGGCUCAACCCCGAAACUGCACUGGAUACUGCCUUGCUUGAGUACUGGAGAGGAGAUUGGAAUUUACGGUGUAGCAGUGAAAUGCGUAGAGAUCGGGAGGAACAUCUGUGGCGAAGGCGACUACCUGGACCAGCACUGACACUGAGGCACGAAAGCGUGGGGAGCAAACAGG